UACGUAGGUGGCAAGCGUUGUCCGGAUUUACUGGGCGUAAAGAGCGCGCAGGCGGUCGUUCAAGUCGCGUGUGAAAGCCCCCGGCUUACCCGGGGAUCUGCAUCCCAAACUGCUUGGCUUGAGUACGGGAGAGGAUAGGGGAAUUCCUGGUGGUAGCGGUGGAAAUGCGUAGAUAUCAGGAGGAACACCGGUGGCGAAGGCGCCUACGUCGUGGCCCGAAUACCUGAGCUGAGGCCGCGAAAG
rnacentral:rRNA from 1 species